GCGGGGCAUGAGGUGGCCAGUGUCAUUGCUAAUUGAGUAUUAUCAUUGCCUGUGAUGACAAUAUCCGAAAAAUAUUUUCAGAUUCGAAUAUUAAAGCUUAAAGCUGCUAUACGAAAUGACCGAUCAAAAUCUAGCUUCUGUGCAAUUGAAAUGAACAUUUUUUAUUUUGCUUGAGAAAGUAAAUUGGGGAUUCUUUUCUUGCCAUACCUUUAGUAUUGAAAAUGCAAUCAUUGCAGACUGAAAAAUGUUUUAAUGACACUACAAAACACACGCAAGAGAAAAUAUGCAAUAUACUACACCAAAACUCAUGCUAAUUUUCAUGCAACGAAGUGUAGCAAAAUAAUUGCAACCCUCUGCCAGUUGUCAUAUUAGACAUACAUACAUACAAUGUAUAUCCAUUUCGCUAUUAUUUUAUUGAGAAAGGCAUAAAUGAGUGAAGAAGGUGAACCCGCCGCAAAAAAGAAAAGGCAGCAGCCACACAAAAAAUGGAAGGAGCGCGAGGUGCUCCUGAUAAUUGACUACCUAAAGGAGGAACCAGAGUUUGAGGCAAGUUUAUAAAUUUGUUUAAAAAUUUAGCCCAAUUAAUUUUUCCUUCUUCUUAGGCUCCAACGGCACGAUUUUACUAUAAGCGGUUUUUGGAAAAGUCGCAGUUAGAUGCCUCUUGGGAACUCGUGCGGUGGAAGGUGCGGCAUUUGAAGGCGCAGUAUAGCAAAGUAAAUGACUGGCUGGCUUCAAAUGGUGCAGGUCUUAUGGACAAAACUUAUGGAAGAACUAUUGCAGCAAAAAUAGGUAAAAUGUGCCCAUAUUUCAAACAGCUCAGGGAAAUUUUAGGCAAACGCGUAUCUACUAUUGAGUUGUUAAUAAUCACGCCCGAAGUUGUUGACUCGCCUUACUCUCAGCUGUGUCCAGCAAGCCCUGCACCUAUUAAAGUAGAAGCUGAAGCUGAAAAAGUAGAAGCUACAUGUGUUUCGCUAAUAAAUUUUGCAACUUCUUCUGUGCCAGAUUCCACCCCAUCAUCCGCAUUUCAGAGAACAAUUUCGCGAGUGCCAAAAGCCUCCAUAGGGCAGAUGGCAGCUGUGCAGAAGCAAAGAAUCGCAAUUGAGGAAAAAAUGCUGCAAUUUGAGAGGGAAAAAUUUGAACACUUAAGAUAGUACAAGAAAAAAAAUUAGACCUAGAAAAAAAAAAUUAGAAAUGGAAUAUAUGUAAGUGGAAGACAUUAGAAUUAGAAAUGAGGAAAAGAGUAGCUAAAUACGAAAUUGACAAAAAAUAUGAAAAUAAAUAUUAAUUAAAUAUA